UACGUAGGUGGCAAGCGUUGUCCGGAUUUACUGGGCGUAAAGCGCGCGCAGGCGGAUUGGUCAGUCCGGGGUGAAAUCUCACGGCUCAACUGUGAGCGGUCCCCGGAUACUGCCAGUCUCGAGGUGUCUAGAGGAGAGCGGAAUUCCAGGUGUAGCGGUGAAAUGCGUAGAUAUCUGGAGGAACACCGGUGGCGAAGGCGGCAUCCUGGACCGACACUGACGCUGAGGAGCGAAAGCCAGGGGAGCAAACGGG
rnacentral:rRNA from 1 species